rnacentral:rRNA from 1 species
ACGGAAGGCAGCAGUGGGGAAUAUUGCACAAUGGGGGAAACCCUGAUGCAGCAACGCCGCGUGAAGGAUGAAGGCCCUUGGGUCGUAAACUUCUGUUCUAAGGGAAGAUAAUGACGGUACCUUAGGAGCAAGUCCCGGCUAACUACGUGCCAGCAGCCGCGGUAAUACGUAGGGAGCAAGCGUUAUCCGGAAUUACUGGGUGUAAAGGGAGUGUAGGCGGGACUGUAAGUCAGAUGUGAAAUAUGCCGGCUCAACUGGCAGACUGCAUUUGAAACUGCGGUUCUUGAGUGAAGUAGAGGUAAGCGGAAUUCCUAGUGUAGCGGUGAAAUGCGUAGAUAUUAGGAGGAACAUCAGUGGCGAAGGCGGCUUACUGGGCUUUAACUGACGCUGAGGCUCGAAAGCGUGGGGAGCAAACAGGAUUAGAUACCCUGGUA